ACGGUACUUCCUCCAUCUAACGAAAGAUGUUUUAAGUUUGUUAAAAUUUGGAUGUAUCAUGACAUGACUUAGUGUAUAGAUGCAUUCAAAUUUGGUCAAAAUUGAGACAUCUUUUGUCGGACGGAGGGAGUAUGAA
rnacentral:pre_miRNA from 1 species